rnacentral:rRNA from 1 species
AUUGAACGCUGGCGGCAGGCCUAACACAUGCAAGUCGAGCGGAUGAAGGGAGCUUGCUCCUGGAUUCAGCGGCGGACGGGUGAGUAAUGCCUAGGAAUCUGCCUGGUAGUGGGGGAUAACGUCCGGAAACGGGCGCUAAUACCGCAUACGUCCUGAGGGAGAAAGUGGGGGAUCUUCGGACCUCACGCUAUCAGAUGAGCCUAGGUCGGAUUAGCUAGUUGGCGGGGUAAAGGCCUACCAAGGCGACGAUCCGUAACUGGUCUGAGAGGAUGAUCAGUCACACUGGAACUGAGACACGGUCCAGACUCCUACGGGAGGCAGCAGUGGGGAAUAUUGGACAAAGGGCGAAAGCCUGAUCCAGCCAUGCCGCGUGUGUGAAGAAGGUCUUCGGAUUGUAAAGCACUUUAAGUUGGGAGGAAGGGCAGUAAGUUAAUACCUUGCUGUUUUGACGGUACCAACAGAAUAAGCACCGGCUAACUUCGUG